rnacentral:rRNA from 1 species
AGAGUUUGAUCCUGGCUCAGGACGAACGCUGGCGGCGUGCCUAACACAUGCAAGUCGAACGGACGAGGCCCCUUCGGGGACCGAGUUAGUGGCGAACGGGUGAGUAACGCGUGAGGAACCUGCCUUUCAGAGGGGGACAACAGUUGGAAACGACUGCUAAUACCGCAUGACAUACCGGGGCCGCAUGGCCCUGGUAUCAAAGAUUUUAUCGCUGAAAGAUGGCCUCGCGUCUGAUUAGAUAGUUGGCGGGGUAACGGCCCACCAAGUCGACGAUCAGUAGCCGGACUGAGAGGUUGAACGGCCACAUUGGGACUGAGAUACGGCCCAG